rnacentral:rRNA from 1 species
CCUGGCGGCCUUAGCGCGGUGGUCCCACCUGACCCCAUGCCGAACUCAGAAGUGAAACGCCGUAGCGCCGAUGGUAGUGUGGGGUCUCCCCAUGCGAGAGUAUUUUUGCGUUGG